AAGUCGUAACAAGGUUUCCGUAGGUGAACCUGCGGAAGGAUCAUUAUUGAAAUAAACCUGAUGGGUUGCUGCUGGCUCUCUAGGGAAGCAUGUGCACACUUGUCAUCUUUAUAUCUCCACCUGUGCACCUUUUGUAGAUCUGGAUAUCUUUCUGAAUGCCCUGGCGUUCAGGUUUGAGGAAUUGACUUUGUCUUUCCUUACAUUUCUAGGCCUAUGUUUUAUUCAUAUACACCAUUUAUGUUAUAGAAUGUAAUUGAAGGGGCCUUUGUGCCUACAAACUUUAUACAACUUUCAGCAACG
rnacentral:misc_RNA from 1 species